rnacentral:rRNA from 1 species
AGUGAACGCUGGCAGUAGGCCUAACACAUGCAAGUCGAACGGCAGCACAGUAAGAGCUUGCUCUUACGGGUGGCGAGUGGCGGACGGGUGAGGAAUACAUCGGAAUCUACUUUUUCGCGGGGGAUAACGUAGGGAAACUUACGCUAAUACCGCAUACGACCUACGGGUGAAAGCAGGGGAUCUUCGGACCUUGCGCGAUUGAAUGAGCCGAUGUCGGAUUAGCUAGUUGGCGGGGUAAAGGCCCACCAAGGCGACGAUCCGUAGCUGGUCUGAGAGGAUGAUCAGCCACACUGGAACUGAGACACGGUCCAGACUCCUACGGGAGGCAGCAGUGGGGAAUAUUGGACAAUGGGCGCAAGCCUGAUCCAGCCAUACCGCGUGGGUGAAGAAGGCCUUCGGGUUGUAAAGCCCUUUUGUUGGGAAAGAAAGGCAGCAGGUUAAUACCCCGCUGUUCUGACGGUACCCAAAGAAUAAGCACCGGCUAACUUCGUG